rnacentral:misc_RNA from 1 species
GAUGAAGAACGUAGCGAAAUGCGAUAAGUAAUGUGAAUUGCAGAAUUCAGUGAAUCAUCGAAUCUUUGAACGCACAUUGCGCCCGCUAGUAUUCUGGCGGGCAUGCCUGUCCGAGCGUCAUUUCAACCCUCAAGCCCCCGGGCUUGGUGUUGGGGAUCGGCGAGCCUCCGCGCCCGCCGUCCCCUAAAUCUAGUGGCGGUCUCGCUGUAGCUUCCUCUGCGUAGUAGCACACCUCGCACUGGGAAACAGCGCGGCCACGCCGUUAAACCCCCAACUUCUGAACGUUUGACCUCGAAUCAGGUAGGAAUACCCGCUGAACUUAAGCAUAUCAAUAAGCGGAGGA